UGAUUUUUUUGAUCUUGGCUCAAUAAAGAAAUUUAUUCAUUGAACUUGGUGGUGCGACUAUCAUCCUUUGUUACAUUUACUGGGGGUAUUGUGCAGUGCCCCCGUGUUUGCACACCUUGGAUCCCAGGUGCUGGACUUUUGGAACUAUUCAUUACAAUUGAGUGGUGAGGUAGCAAGGACCACCUUUCUUCCUUUUGAUUGCACCUACAACCUCUGCAAGCAGUGCACUGUAUGAGGGUAAAAUGAAGCAGGAAACUUCAGCAGGCCCAGAAGAAUGAUAUUAAGGGAAGGGAGAAUUAUCUGCUGUUCCUGUUUUCCAAGCCCCUGGUGUCCCAGCCUAACCUCAUCUACAUUGCUCAACUGGGAACUUCUAAUAGAUCCCAGAGACUCAAUGGUGUAUGGAGAAAUUUCU